UCCAUGAGAAUCUUUAAGGAGUCAAACAUCUGGUCUCAGAGAUUAGCUUUCGUUUCUGGUUCCCAGAGAACUGCUCUCGGCGGGAAAGUUAGACUCUAUAUAGGUGUUUUACCCGCGAAGUAACUUCGCGGAGUCAAUUCGUCAGCCUCCGGAGCGAGUUGUGUCUGGACAGCACGCUCCGUUCCAAGCCUCGUUCCUGUUCAAGCCUUGUCCUUGUUCUCAAGCCUUCGCUCCUGUUUCCCAGCCUUGUUUACCUUCGGACCUUGCCUCGCCUUUCAGGACUAAACCUUGCCUUGUUUCACGGAUUUUACCAAGUAAUUCCACGGACCUUGUUCUUGUUCCUCGUUACCUUGUGUCACGAUUCAAGCCUUGUUUUCAAGUAUCAAGUUAAUUCCUAGCCUUGCUCAAGUUCAUGGACUAAAGGACCUCGUCAUCUCCCCUCACUUUGCCUGGCAAGGUGAGUGUUUCGGUUACUGGAUUACAACUUUGGCCCUUAAUAUUGCAUAUUGGACAUUGUUUCUUUGGACUAACUUUGACCUUUCCUGAAAGGUCUGCUUCUGGACUAACUUUUACAUUUGUUUUUACCAACUUUAUAUACUCCUUCAAUAAAGAUAGUAGAUAGAUUCUGGCCUCUGUGUAUGGUUAUUGGUGCCUUGCAGCCUGGGUUCUGACACAAAUAAACAGUUCGAGGGGAGGUCACAGGGGCUUACAUGUCUUUACACUAAUGCUCAGAGCAUGGGAAAUAAGCAAGACGAACUCCAACUCCUAGCACAGCACCACACAUACGAUGUCAUAGGCAUCACUGAAACCUGGUGGGAUGACUCCCAUCACUGGAAUUUAACCAUUGAGGGCUAUAACCUCUUUCACAGAAAUAGAACAAAGGGGAGAGGAGGGGGAGUAGCUUUAUAUGUCAAAAACAGUUACGUUGCAGAAGAAAUGCAAGACUGUAAUCCGGGAAACCAGCUUGAAAGCAUCUGGAUAAGAAUCAAGGGAACCGGGACUCAAAAAGAUCUUGUCGUGGGUGUCUACUACAGACCUCCGAGUCAGGAUGAAGGACUUGAUGAAGCCUUCUGUCAACAGCUGACCAAACAGGCACAAAGAAGAGAUAUAGUAGUCAUGGGCGAUUUCAAUUAUCCCGAUAUCUGCUGGAAAACAAACUCAGCCAAGAGUACAAAGUCCAACAAAUUCCUCACUUGCCUUGCAGAUAAUUUUAUGGUCCAGAAGGUAGAAGAGGCAACAAGGGGAUCAGCAACUCUUGAUAUAAUCUUAACAAAUGUGGAAGACCUGAUCAAUACAGUUGAAGUGGUUGGAUCCUUAGGGGCAAGUGACCAUGUGCUCCUGCAGUUUGCAAUACAAAGGAAUGCUGAAACUAAGACAAGUCAAACACGCAUUCUGGACUUUAAGAGAGCUGACUUCCAAAAAAUGAAGGAAUUACUGAGCGGCAUUCCAUGGACGGCGAUAUUAAAAAACAAGGGAGUUAAGGAUGGAUGGGAGUUUUUCAAAAGUGAAAUACUCAAGGCGCAAAUGCAAACAGUGCCAACAAAGAAGAAAAAUAAGACAAGUGCAAAGAAGCCAGAAUGGAUGUCCAAAGAACUUCUAACUGAGCUAAAGCUCAAAAGUGACAUGCACAAGAAGUGGAAAAGGGGAGAAAUCACCAAAGAAGAAUUCAAACGUAUAGCCAACACCUGUAGGGAAAAGGUUCGCAAGGCUAAAGCGCAAAAUGAGCUCAGGCUUGCCAGGGACAUAAAAAACAACAAAAAAGGUUUUUUUGCUUACGUUGGUAGAAAAAGGAAGAAAAAGGAGGCGAUAGGGCCACUGCAAGGAGAAGAUGGGGUGAUGGUGACAGGGGAUAGGGAAAAGGCAGAACUGCUUAAUGCCUUCUUUGCCUCGGUCUUCUCACAAAAAGAAAGCCAUCUUCAACCUCAGCAACAUGGAAUGGACGAAGGAUUGGGGGAAAUCCAACCCCAAAUAGGGAAACAAGUUGUCCAGGAACACCUGGCCACUCUAAACGAAUUCAAGUCGCCAGGGCCAGAUCAGCUACAUCCAAGAGUAUUGAAGGAACUAGCGGAAGUUAUUUCAGAACCACUGGCAAUCAUCUUCGAGAGUUCUUGGAGAACAGGAGAAGUCCCAGCAGAUUGGAGGAGGGCGAAUGUGGUCCCUAUCUUCAAGAAGGGAAAAAAGAAUGACCCAAACAAUUACCGUCCGGUCAGCCUCACAUCGAUACCAGGCAAGAUUCUGGAAAAGAUCAUUAAGGAAGUGGUCUGCAAACACUUAGAAACAAAUGCGGUCAUUGCUAAUAGUCAACACGGAUUUACCAAAAACAAGUCAUGACAGACUAAUCUGAUCUCUUUUUUCGAUAGAGUUACGAGUUGGGUCGAUACAGGGAAUGCCGUGGAUGUAGCGUAUCUAGAUUUCAGUAAGGCCUUCGACAAAGUCCCCCACGACCUUCUGGCAAACAAACUAGUAAAAUGUGGGCUAGACAAAACUACGGUUAGGUGGAUCUGUAAUUGGCUAAGCGAACGAACCCAAAGGGUGCUCACGAAUGCGUCGUCUUCAUCAUGGAAAGAAGUGACAAGUGGAGUGCCGCAGGGCUCCGUCCUGGGCCCGGUUCUGUUCAACAUCUUUAUUAACGACUUAGACGAAGGGUUAGAAGGCACGAUCAUCAAGUUUGCAGAUGACACCAAACUCGGAGGGAUAGCUAACACUCCAGAAGACAGGAGCAGAAUUCAAAACGAUCUUGACAGACUAGAGAGAUGGGCCGAAACUAACAAAAUGAAGUUCAACAGGGACAAAUGCAAGAUACUUCACUUCGGCAGAAAAAAUGGAAAUCAAAGAUACAGAAUGGGGGACGCCUGGCUUGACAGCAGUGUGUGCGAAAAAGACCUUGGAGUCCUCGUGGACAACAAGUUAAACAUGAGCCUACAAUGUGAUGCGGCAGCUAAAAAAGCCAAUGGGAUUUUGGCCUGCAUCAAUAGGGGAAUAACGUCUAGAUCCAGGGAAGUCAUGCUCCCCCUCUAUUCUGCCUUGGUCAGACCACACCUGGAAUACUGUGUCCAAUUUUGGGCACCGCAGAUGAAGGGAGAUGCUGACAAGCUGGAAAGCGUCCAGAGGAGGGCGACUAAAAUGAUUAAGGGUCUGGAGAACAAGCCCUAUGAGGAGCGGCUUAAAGAGCUGGGCAUGUUUAGCCUGCAGAAGAGAAGGCUGAGAGGAGACAUGAUAGCCAUGUACAAAUACGUGAAGGGAAGUCAUAGGGAGGAGGGAGCAAGCUUGUUUUCUGCUGCCCUGCAGACUAGGACACGGAACAAUGGCUUCAAACUACAGGAAAGGAGAUUCCACCUGAACAUCAGGAAUAACUUCCUCACUGUGAGGGCUGUUCGGCAGUGGAACUCUCUCCCCCGGACUGUGGUGGAGGCUCCUUCUUUGGAAGCUUUUAAGCAGAGGCUGGAUGGCCAUCUGUCGGGGGUGCUUUGAAUGCGAUUUCCUGCUUCUUAGCGGGGGGUUGGACUAGAUGGCCCAUGAGGUCUCUUCCAACUCUACUAUUCUAUGAUUCUAUGAUUCUAAUAAUUUUAAAAAACACUUUUGUUAUUUGUAAUCUCUCUAGCAAACUGGAGCUCACUCUUCACUUUGGCUUUUCAUGUUUCUCCCUACACAUGCUGGCUAUUCGUUCAAAGCAGAUAAUCUUGAUUUUAUAUGACAGCGUAGAAGGGACCUAAGUAAGAGGGGGAAAAAAGGUUGUUAUCAUUUUGAAAAACAUGUUUCCCUAUGGGUUGUUGUGUGUUUUACGGGCUGUAUAACCAUGUUCUAGAAGUAUUCCCUCCUGACGUUUCACCCACAUCUAUGGCAGGUAUCCUCACAACCUCUGACGAUACCCCAUAGAUGUGGGUGAAACAUCAGGAGAGCAUACUUCUAGAACAUGGCCAUACAGCCCGGAAAACACACCACAACCCUGUGAUUCCAGCCAUGAAAGCCUUCGAAACAUGUUUCCUUAUGCCUCCUCUUGUAUUAGAUGUAUUUGACUAUCUCUAGAUUUUUCUCCUUUUUAUAUUCUAUAUCCCAUUAAUUUCACUCAAUAAAAACUUUUCAAAAAAACAAAACAAUGAAGGAUGACAGGAUAGAAGGCAUGCUUAUCAAAUUUGCAGAUGACACCCUAGAGGACAGAGUCAGAAUCCAAAAUGACUUAUCAGAUUAGAGAGCUGGCCCAAACAAGUGAAUUUCAACACCACAGCCGGAUUUUUUUUUUUGGGGGGGGGGGGAGAUGUUGCUAUAACCUUCCAAUGAAAACUGAAUGUUUGUUUCUCUGCAGCUUUUGAUGGGUCAUCGUCAGGAUGAUCUGGUGAAGGAGAGAGAAAAGAUUGUGGAAUAUAAAGCAGAGACAGAAAAGGAAGCCCAAGACCUGCUUAAGCAGAUAAAAACAAAAAUGGAAACAACCUUAGACGAAAUCACAGAAAU